rnacentral:rRNA from 1 species
UACGUAGGGUGCGAGCGUUUGUCCGGAAUUAUUGGGGCGUAAAGAGCUCGUAGGCGGUGUGUCACGUCGGCCGUGAAAACCUGCAGCUUAACUGUGGGCGUGCGGUCGAUACGGGCAUCACUGGAGUUCGGCAGGGGAGACUGGAAUUCCUGGUGUAGCGGUGAAAUGCGCAGAUAUCAGGAGGAACACCGGUGGCGAAGGCGGGUCUCUGGGCCGAUACUGACGCUGAGGAGCGAAAGCGUGGGGGAGCAAACAGG